rnacentral:lncRNA from 1 species
UCGCGAGAACGUGCACUGGUUUGAUUUGGUCCAAUUCAGUUUGAUUCAAUAGUUGUGGUAGUGCUGAAUUCUCAGAUUCAACAUUUGUUUGCCAAGUCUUUACUUCAGUGGAGUCAGUCAGAUAGAAGUAGGAGAGGAAGAAAAAGAAUGUCAUUAUAUUCAGGUCCAGUGGUAAAUGCUUACAUAUGUUCUUGAUCCCCAGACACAACUUGCUUUUAUUAGUACUUUUCUUGUUGGUGGAACAUAACUAGAGCAAAUAUUUGUGUGGUUUUAGCAUGUUCUGAUUAUGAAAAAUCAGAAUUCGAUACUCAUCUUUUAUUCGUCGUUCGUGUUUCGACGCUACAACUUGCUUUUAUUAGUACUUUUCUUGUUGGUGGAACAUAACUAGAGCAAAUAUUUUGUGUGGUUUUAGCAUGUUCUGAUUAUGAAAAAAA